GCAGAGCACCGCAUAAUUUCCUCCAACACCCAGCUAUUGAAAGCCUCCGCUUACUGGUUGCUAUGGAAGCACGUUCCCUUGUCCAGCCUACGGAAGCACGGUAGCUAGUAAGGGCGGAAGCUCUAGCGUCUUCGAGUUACGUAGGCAUGCCGAAUAAAAACGGGUUUGAUGAGCGUAUUCUCCUUUGAAUCACCAGGUCUGAAAAUUUGCUGUUGCCCAAUGUGAAACAUUUCCAGUAGCUGGCUACCAGACUGGACAUGAGGCUCCAAGCUGGCAUCUGCAGUACUUCCAGAACUGACGAUGUUCCUCCGACUGUAUCUUCGAUGCAGCCGCACAAUUGUUCCUACUAAGCAUUUACGUACAGAUUUGUUAACAGUCAGAAAAAGCAGAGGAUUGGCCAGCAGUGAUAUUUUGGGCAGCCAGAUGGCAGUGAGAAGCAAGAACACAGAAGGGUCAGAAGAACUCAAUACAAUACGGUAAAUCACCAAAAUCAUAUAGGGAAUACUGCAGAAGAUAAAGAUCAUAACCAUGGACAGCAGCAUGGCAUGAAGUUCAGAUUCUCUCUGGGAGGCAUAAGGAAUAGAAAUAGUAUUCUGAGGUGUUCUUAAGGCAGCUAUGAUGACUUUUUUCUUCUGGCUGGCACUCAGGGCCUUCCGGAUAAGGAUCAUAAAGAGAAACACCACAGCCACCGGCACUAUCACAGUGGUAAUAUUGUAAAUAAUUACAUAUACCAAAUGGCCAAUAGAGUAACUCCAAGGUUCAGUGCAAGAGGACAUUGCGUAAAUAUCCGAGACACUGGUCACAGCAAAUACAGGAAUGCUUGCCACCACUGCAUGUGCCCAGAUGUAGAUCACCAGAUCUCGAGACCUGGCAUCUGAUAUUUUCCUUUCAAGUGGGUACAGAACUGAAUAAUACCUAUCAAAAAAAAAGAAAAAGUGUAUGAGAAAUAUUUAAAUUCAGGUGAACCUUCUGUGGAAACUCUCCCCAAUGACCUAAUUUUGAGUAAAUUAUAACAUAUAGUGUGAAUUUAUAUCAUCUGCUGUAACAAUUGUCAAGAACUUCCCAUAUGGUACUUAAGCCAAAAGAACAUUUUUCUACAUUGAUGAGAAGAAAAUAUCUAUACUUUUCAAUGAAUAGAAUGAUAAAUAAUAAUUUGAGAAAUCACAAAGCUGCAAAAGGGCAUAAUAUAGGAGAACAAAGUCAUCCUUAUGAGAUCAGUAGAGGAUCCUAAUGAGAUGCAGAAUUACACUUCCUAGGUUCAGAUCAACAACUUGCUAGUUUUAAGUCCAGAAUAGGAUACAUGACUUUUUAUGUAAUUUAUAUUGCAUAACCUCAUCUGAUAUAUUUUUCUUCCUCGCCUUCUGUUUUAAAUAGGAAAGAAGCCUUUAAAUCACUGUUAGAUUGUGAUUCUGUUUUAAGAGUUUGUGUAGGCUUUAAUAUAUUUGUAUUACAUUCUGAAUUAUUUUCAGUAGUGAGCUGAAAUUUUCAGAGUGUCCAGAAAAAGCUGCAAUACAAAAGUUACAAAGGAACUCAGAAAAAAGGAAUCCAGUCUGAAUCUGCUAUUCAGCUUUUUCCCCAAUAGAUCCUAGGGAUGGCUAGCUUACUACAAAAACUUUAGAUACACUACUCCUCUUGCUUUGUCAAAGUGGGAUACCAAACAGGAUCUCCAAAGCAUAGGUGGUUCCAAGAGGCUUUUGUUUCAAGCCAUUUCAUGAUAUUAAAAAGUUGCUUUUUAUACAGACAGUUUUAUGGUUGAGUAUACAUUGGUCUGCAUUACCAGGGAAAUUGAGGCCCUGUAAAAAUUCUUCAGAGACUGUAAAAAAAAUGAUUUAAGAAUACAGAAGGGGCCUUUUGCCCAGUAAAUGAAUUAAUAAUGAGAAAGGUGUAACUGGCUACCACGCUAACUGUGGUAGACAGCCAUGUAUGAGGAAAUUUACCUUCUAUAUGUUGGCAAUUGGCUCCCUGAAAACUAGAUUUAGUCCUCUGAAAUAUUGACUUGGUUAAGUUAGGCUGACCAAAGCAUAAAAAUCCAGCCACUAUAUGCCUUCUCCCCCACCCCUUUCUCAACAUAACUUAUCUAACAGGAUGAUGGCAAAACUAAAGUGUUACUCUUAGCUCCAUGGGCAGAAUGCGAUAUUAUUAAAGAUAUUUAUUAUUAAUGAAUAGAUGUUUAGAACUAAAAAGAGGGUGAGUGAGCAACUGAGCUGUAUUAACAAGUACCCUCUAAAUAAGAACAAGUCUAGAACAGCACCCCCCAAUUUUGUUGAGCCUGCAGGCAGUUUUGGAAUUUUGAGAAAGGUUAGUGAGUGUCAAAACACACUGGAUGCCUCAUCAUAUUUUUUAUUUAUUGCACUUAUUUAUUUAUUUAAAUAAAGUCUCCAUUAAAGAAAA